rnacentral:rRNA from 1 species
GGGAUUAUUUCAUUGAAGCUUCGGCAGAUUUGGCUUAAUUCUAGUGGCGGACGGGUGAGUAACGCGUGGGUAACCUGCCUUAUACAGGGGGAUAACAGUCAGAAAUGGCUGCUAAUACCGCAUAAGCGCACAGGGCCGCAUGGCCCGGUGUGAAAAACUGAGGUGGUAUAAGAUGGACCCGCGUUGGAUUAGCCAGUUGGCAGGGUAACGGCCUACCAAAGCGACGAUCCAUAGCCGGCCUGAGAGGGUGAACGGCCACAUUGGGACUGAGACACGGCCCAGACUCCUACGGGAGGCAGCAGUGGGGAAUAUUGCACAAUGGGGGAAACCCUGAUGCAGCGACGCCGCGUGAAGGAAGAAGUAUCUCGGUAUGUAAACUUCUAUCAGCAGGGAAGAAAAUGACGGUACCUGACUAAGAAGCCCCGGCUAACUACGUGCCAGCAGCCGCGGUAAUACGUAGGGGGCAAGCGUUAUCCGGAUUUACUGGGUGUAAAGGGAGCGUAGACGGCAUAACAAGUCUGAUGUGAAAGGCUGGGGCUUAACCCCGGGACUGCAUUGGAAACUGUUAAGCUUGAGUGCCGGAGGGGUAAGCGGAAUUCCUAGUGUAGCGGUGAAAUGCGUAGAUAUUAGGAGGAACA